GACGAACCACACGAUCGUUAUUCGGAAUUACUGGGCUUAAAGGGUGCGUAGGCGGCGCGGUAAGUAGGGUGUGAAAUCCCUCAGCUCAACCGAGGAACUGCGCUCUAAACUACCGUGCUCGAGGGAGAUAGAGGUGAGCGGAACUUAGGGUGGAGCGGUGAAAUGCGUUGAUAUCCUAAGGAACACCGGUGGCGAAGGCGGCAUCCUGGACCAACAUUGACGCUGAGGAGCGAAAGCUAGGGGAGCAAACGGG
rnacentral:rRNA from 1 species